rnacentral:rRNA from 1 species
GCAUAUCCAAUAAGCCGGAAGGAAAAAGAAACCAACAGGGGAUUGCCUUAGUAACCGGCGAGUGAAGCGGCAACAGCUCAAAUUUGAAAUCUGGCCCUCGGGUCCGAAUUGUAAUUUGUAGAGGAUGAUUUUGGUGCGGUAUCUUCCGAGUUCCUUGGAACAGGACGCCUUAGAGGGUGAGAGCCCCGUACGGUUGAAUGCCUAGCCUCUGUAAAUCUCCUUCGACGAGUCGAGUAGUUUGGGAAUGCUGCUCUAAAUGGGAGGUAAAUUUCUUCUAAAGCUAAAUAUUGGCCAGAGACCGAUAGCGCACAAGUAGAGUGAUCGAAAGAUGAAAAGCACUUUGAAAAGAGGGUUAAAUAGCACGUGAAAUUGUUGAAAGGGAAGGAUUUGUGACCAGACUUUUUCUGGGCGGAUCAUCCGGGGUUCUCUCCGGUGCACUUUGCCCAGUAAAGGCCAGCAUCGAUUUUCGGCGGCGGAUAAAAGCAGUGGGAAUGUGGCUCCCUACGGGGAGUGUUAUAGCCCAUUGUAUAAUACGCUGCUGGGGAUCGAGGUACGCGCUUCUGCAAGGAUGCUGGCGUAAUGGUUAUCAAUCACCCGUCUUGAAACACGGACCAAGGAGUCGAACAUUUAUGCGAGUGUUUGGGUGUUAAACCCUCACGCGUAAUGAAAGUGAACGGAGGUGAGAGCCCGUACGGGUGCAUCAUCGACCGAUCCUGAAGUUUUCGGAUGGAUUUGAGUAAGAGCAUAACUGUUCGGACCCGAAAGAUGGUGAACUAUGCGUGGAUAGGGUGAAGCCAGAGGAAACUCUGGUGGAGGCUCGCAGCGGUUCUGACGUGCAAAUCGAUCGUCAAAUCUGCGCAUGGGGGCGAAAGACUAAUCGAAACCAUCUAGUAGCUGGGUUACCGCCGAAG